rnacentral:misc_RNA from 1 species
UUUCCGUAGGUGAACCUGCGGAAGGAUCAUUACUGAGUGAGGGCCCCUCGGGGUCCAACCUCCCACCCGUGUUUAACGAACCUUGUUGCUUCGGCGGGCCCGCCUCACGGCCGCCGGGGGGCAUCUGCCCCCGGGCCCGCGCCCGCCGAAGCCGCCUGUGAACGCUGUCUGAAGUAUGCAGUCUGAGACAAUUAUUAAAUUAAUUAAAACUUUCAACAACGGAUCUCUUGGUUCCG